rnacentral:rRNA from 1 species
UACGUAGGGUGCAGGCGUUAAUCGGAAUUACUGGGCGUAAAGCGUGCGCAGGCGGUUUGCUAAGACAGGUGUGAAAUCCCCGGGCUUAACCUGGGAACUGCGCUUGUAACUGGCAAGCUAGAGUGUGGCAGAGGGGGGUGGAAUUCCACGUGUAGCAGUGAAAUGCGUAGAGAUGUGGAGGAACACCGAUGGCGAAGGCAGCCCCUUGGGCUAACACUGACGCUCAUGCACGAAAGCGUGGGGAGCAAACAGG